rnacentral:lncRNA from 1 species
CUGAUUCGAUGGUCUGGAGUUUCCUCAAGCCAAAGCCAUGCAGAGGUCUAAGAUGUAUAGUGUCAAAGACUCUACACCCUUUUCCUCUACAAGGACACUCUGGUCAAGGGAAGAUUUAGGUUAGAUGAGAUGAGGAAAUUCUUCACUCAGAGGGCAAUGAGACCCUGAUACUGCUACCCAGAGCUGUGGGUGCCUGAGGCCAUGGAUGGGCCCUGGGCAGCCUCAUGUGGUGGGGGACACCCAGCCCAUGGGCAGGGGUUGGGGCUGGGUGGGCUCUGAGUUCAAUUCCAACCCAGCCAUUCUGUGGCUCUAUGAUUCUAUGACAUAAACUAGGCAGGUGGGGUGGGCAUGGAGAUAUGCAGGGGGCUGAGCCCACCCGGAGGAGAUCAGCUUCUGUUCUGGCAAAAUCUCUAGACUGCGCUGCCAAGUACAGAGCACCAACACUCUCAGGCAUUGCUCUGUGUCUGCAAAUUGUGCUUCCCCAGGGUUAUUUUGCUGCUGUCCCCAUUAAGAUGUGACAAGGCAGAAGGAGAUUUCCAGCUCCCCUAUGGCCAGGACUGGCAUCAUCCAUGGGAAAAGACAGCAGGGAGCUACUUCAGCACGGGUAUCCUCCAAAACUGAUGGCUUCACGCACCCUUGCAAGAUGUCCCUUCCUUGCCCAGGAGUUCAGCUGGCAGCACCAAAAGGCACCCAGCAGUCAGCAUACAAUUACAUGCUGCAACAUCAGUCCAGCAACAUCACUCUGGGGAAGGGCUGUAAGUCAAGUGAUGGAUUGCCACAUGGAAAACCCUCAUUGUGUUGCACUCAGGAAUUCCAGGUGCAUUCAAUUGGGUUUGCCUGCUCUCUGUCCAGAGGAAAACACCAAUAUGACUUUUAAAAUGGGGAAUAAACCAAAAUAACCACGUAUUUUUUUUGUUUUU